rnacentral:rRNA from 1 species
GACGAACGCUGGCGGCGUGCUUAACACAUGCAAGUCGAACGGAAAGGCCCUGCUUUUGUGGGGUGCUCGAGUGGCGAACGGGUGAGUAACACGUGAGUAACCUGCCCUUGACUUUGGGAUAACUUCAGGAAACUGGGGCUAAUACCGGAUAGGAGCUCCUGCUGCAUGGUGGGGGUUGGAAAGUUUCGGCGGUUGGGGAUGGACUCGCGGCUUAUCAGCUUGUUGGUGGGGUAGUGGCUUACCAAGGCUUUGACGGGUAGCCGGCCUGAGAGGGUGACCGGCACCAGGGGGAUGCGGGAGGCGGCAGGGGUGAGUGGGGGGGAAGGGGGGGAAACUGGAGCAAACGGGGCGGCGGCGGUGAAAAACACCGCCGGGUGGGGAAGCGCGUCUGUGGGGUAGGAAACCGUUUUCGCCUGUGCCGAGGGGUGAGGGCGGUAAAGGAAGAAAAAGCCCCGGCUAACUUCGUU